UCUUUUCUCUCUCCCUCUCCUCUCUCUACCAUCCCACCACCCCACCUCCUUAGACGGUCAACGCCGCAGCCACAGCCUUUUCCGACCAGCAGGCGUCGCCACCAGACGCCGCCACUGUUUCCGACCAGCUCAGGAGCUCCAGAGGGGUUAGGCAGUACCUCAAGAUGAGAUCUUCAAGAUUACUCACACGAGGAAGGAGAAGAACGCCGAUGGUACAGACCGAUGGGUUGAGCCAAGGGCUAAGCGAACUUGGAACGAAUUUCAACAACACUUUGGGGAGUUUCGAGCCACUCAGCAAAGUAGCACGCCGAUGACCGACGAGUUAAUACAACAUCAAUGUAUUGAGAAGGUUGCUCCCCCAACAAGGCAUGAGACAGUUUAUGGCAUGCCUAAUCGAGCCUUUCGUCGAUACCCGUCGGCCCUUGAAGCCGUAGGUGUUACUGAUGAUGGGGCAGUUGAUCCUAAGGAGUAUGAAGCUAUGAAGCAUCAAGUUGACCUGCAAACAAGAACACUUAAUUCCUCUGAGGCCAGGAUGUUGGGUAUGGAAGACCAGAUUAAUAGCUUACUUAAUUCGCGGCCAUUUCCGAUUCCCCCGUAUCCUGGGGAUGCUCGUAGGUCACAACCCCCUAGCCAACCCCGACCUUCCCAAGGUAGACGAGGUAGGUCACAAGCUGACAUAAAUCAUGAUCUUUUCAAUAAGUCUAGUGGGGAGGAUACGGAUCAUGUCUCUAACACCGAACGUUGACCUUUUUGA